rnacentral:rRNA from 1 species
GUAGGGAAUAUUGGGCAAUGGAUGCAAGUCUGACCCAGCCAUCCCGCGUGCCGGAAGAAGGCCCUCAGGGUUGUAAACGGCUUUUGACGGUGAAGAAUCGACAGGAUGCGUCCUGUUUUGACGGUAGCCGUUGAAUAAGCACCGGCUAACUCCGUGCCAGCAGCCGCGGUAAUACGGAGGGUGCGAGCGUUGUCCGGAUUUAUUGGGUUUAAAGGGUGCGUAGGCUGGAAGGUCAGUCAGCGGUGAAAAGCUGUCGCUUAACGAUAGUCUUGCCGCAGAUACUUCCUUUCGUGGAUGAGGAGGAGGCCACUGGAACGGAUGGUGUAGCGGUGAAAUGCAUAGAUAUCAUCUAGAACACCGAUUGCGAAGGCAGGUGGCUGUACCUUAAUCGACGCUGAUGCACGAAAGCAUGGGGAGCAAACAGGAUUAGAAACCCGUGUAGUCC